rnacentral:rRNA from 1 species
GACGAACGCUGGCGGCGUGCUUAACACAUGCAAGUCGAGCGGUAAGGCCCUUUCGGGGGUACACGAGCGGCGAACGGGUGAGUAACACGUGGGUGACCUGCCCUUAGCUCUGGGAUAAGCCUGGGAAACUGGGUCGUAAUACCCGGAUAUGACUCCAUGACGCAUGUUGUGGGGUGGAAAGCCUUGUGCGGCUAGGGAUGGGCCCGCGGCCUAUCAGCUUGUUGGUGGGGUGAUGGCCUACCAAGGCGACGACGGGUAGCCGGCCUGAGAGGGCGACCGGCCACACUGGGACUGAGACACGGCCCAGACUCCUACGGGAGGCAGCAGUGGGGAAUCUUGCGCAAUGGGCGAAAGCCUGACGCAGCGACGCCGCGUGGGGA